rnacentral:snoRNA from 1 species
CCUCUGCUGAUGAGUAACCGUUUGACUUUCGUUCUUCUGAGCAUGCUGAAGCCAUGUUUAUCGAUCUGAGGAGG